GCUUUGAGCUAAAGAAAGCUGCGGCUGGAGCAAGCAUCUCCCAGCUCACACAGGCAUUAACAUAUACGGUCAUUGUCUCUGCUGCUUCCCACUGCAGCUUUAUAUAAUAAAACAAGCCGCGUCAAAUAGGCUAGGCUGUAAUAUUAGGUAAAAUCUAAUUUCAGUUUGGUUAUCACAUAGCGUUCAUUUCCCUAAGGGAGGAGAAAAAAUUAAAUUUGUAAGCUUAAGAUUCCAGCUGAAGUACUCAAGAAUCCUGUUUCUCUGACAGAGGAAAGGAACAACUUGACUGGACACAUCCUAACCCAACCAUACGCUGUGUUACUUCCUCCACUGUGCCACACACAGCUAUUAUUCUAAGCUUUCUUAUUCAAACCCUUAAGGAUUUGUAAGCUCCUGAUCAACUGGAAGAGAGUUCCUACCACAGAAAGAAAGGCAGCCAAGAACACAAUGUCCUGACCUAGCUCUUGGAAGUACUAAAUUUCAUCACAGAAACCACAGCCUCAAGGACAGAGGACUUAUCCAGAGUCAUCAAAUCUAUCGGUCUUUUUCCAAAUUCUGUAGAUUUACACGAAGAGCUUUUUCUGCUUUCUGUUUUCUCUGAAAGAGCCGUGAAUGAUGAGACGACAAAAUAUUGGAUUAUUUGUGCUCUUGAAACAGAUGCCACCUGAGUUGUGACAGAGAUGGAAAUCUAGAAUUUCUUGCAGCUUGGCAGCAUAGGAGCCAAUGGGGUAGCAAUGUGAAAGUCAAGAAGUACACCUCAUCUCCAGGGCAGCAAGAGUGAUCCCUGCCUGACAAUGAUGCUGGGAGAAGAUGUGCCGGUGCUCAAGAAGGCACCGUUCCUCAUGCACAGCCACAUGCUACAGGUCACACAACAUUGGCAGGAGUCCAGACCACUUUUUGUCUAGUAGUAGCUUUACUGGGACCUACUAUAACUUGGGCAAGUUAAGUCUUCUUCCUGGAUUUUGUUUCUCUUUAAACAAGAGAAUAAGAGUAGAUGGGCUACAAAGUUCCCAAAGAACUUAGCUAAGAUUCUGGCAUAUAGUUACAGUAUGGAUUAAGUAGAAGGUGAUGAGGCAGAGAGUGAACAUGACAUUGGUGUGUGGCCAGAUUUACACUUGGACCUUCUUUAGGGGGGGCACCCGUUGAAAAUCAGCCUGCAAAUCCUCAAUAAAUCCAGCACUGCCAGUUUUUUUCAUUCUGAGACAGACUGCAUUUGGUGAGGCAGGAGGGUGAGCAUUAUAUAAAAGAGACAUUUUGCAUUUUAGGAGCAAUGAUAUAUACAAAAUAAGUACUAUAGCAUUAAAAUACAAUCACACUCAUUGUUGAAAGAUGUUUACAUUAUGAGAAAAAAAUCCAUGCUCCUGACAUCAACUGAAGGGGCAUCUCUCACAAGAGAGUGGAAGUAUGGAAUCUAAUGUUACUACAGCAAGUGAAUCCACCUUGUAUAGAGUGAAAUAUUUGUAAAACUCCUAAUUAGAAUAGAUUUUUAAAAAACUA